CCUACGGGUGACAGCAGUGGGGGAUAUUGCACAAUGGGGGGAACCCUGAUGCAGCGACGCCGCGGGGGUGAAGAAGGGCCUCGGCGCGUAAAGCCCUGUCAGCAGGGAAGAAAAUGACGGUACCUGACGAAGAAGCCCCGGCUAACUACGUGCCAGCAGCCGCGGUAAUACGUAGGGGGCAAGCGUUAUCCGGAUUUACUGGGUGUAAAGGGGGCGUAGACGGCGAUGCAAGUCAGGGGUGAAAGCUCGGGGCCCAACCCCGGGACUGCACUGGGAACUGCGGGGCUGGAGUGCAGGAGGGGCAGGCGGAAGUCCUGGUGUAGCGGUGAAAUGCGUAGAUAUCAGGAGGAACACCGGUGGCGAAGGCGGCCUGCUGGACUGCAACUGACGUUGAGGCCCGAAAGCGUGGGGAGCAAACAGGAUUAGAUACCCGAGUAGUC
rnacentral:rRNA from 1 species